GAAAAGAAAUCCAAUUACAAAGAUAAAAAGACUUGAACGCCCUUUAAAUUGGCUAACGCUAGUUGGAUCAAAAACAACUCCCAAGGAAUUGGAUGAAAUUGUUGUCCUGAAAAAAAUAAAAAUGAAGAAGUACGGUUUGCAGCUUAGGGUUCCACCGUCGCAGCAGAAAAAGCCGGUAACAAGACCGCCGCUCCCUCCUCCUCUUGGCUUUCGCGACGACGACGAUGAUGACGUGGAGAGAGAGAUUUCUCGGCAGGCUAGCAAGAACAAAUCUCUCAAGGAGAUAGAGGAGCAACAUAGGAAAGCGCUAGAGGAAGAUCCUUCGGUGUUUGACUAUGAUGGAGUUUACGAUGAGAUGAAAGAGAAGGUUGUUCGUCCCCGUGUUCAAGAUCGCGAAGAGCGACAGUCGAAAUAUAUUCAUAAUUUAAUUAAAAAGGCAGAGCAACGAAAGUGGGAGCAGGAGAUAGUAUAUGAGAGGAAACUCGUGAAAGAGAGAAGUAAAGAGGAUCACCUUUACGCAGACAAGGAUAAGUUUGUGACAAGUGCCUACAAGAAAAAACUUGCUGAGCAGGCAAAAUGGAUGGAGGAAGAGCGCUUACGUCAACUUCGAGAGGAGAAAGAUGAUGUUACCAAGAAGAGUGACCUGAGUGAUUUUUACUUCAACCUUGGUAAAAAUGUUGCAUUUGGGGCAAACGAGGUUGGACCAAGGAUGCCAGAAAAGCAUACUGAAUCAAGGAAACCUGAGAGGAAAGAUGAGAAAGAGAUAGAUGUUAUCAAAAGAGUUCAGCCAUUACCUAACUCAAAUGCUCCCGAGUCUUCCGGUGUGACUGAUAGGACUCAGGAUGAAACAAGUUCCAGAGAAAACUUUGAGUCCCAAGAUUCAAGGCCAAUUACUGUUGAUGUUCUUCCAGAGACUGCACUGCAAGAGACCUCUUCAGUGAAACAACCAUCAGUUGAUCAACCAAAACGUGACCAUCACAAAAGAGGUGAAGAUGCGGUUGCUGCAGCUAGGGAACGUUUUCUGGCACGCAAGAGGGCAAAAGAGCAAUGAUUGGCUACUUCUCUCCGGAGACGGAGUGACAAAUGGGGAGACUGAAAUCCUAAGAGACCUUUUGUUUAUUGUACAUUACAAAUCUACAAGAAGGUGGAAUAUAAUGGUUACAAAAUGAUGGUCUCAUCUGACGGGAUGGUGAUGGCUGGAGUAGUCGAUUUUGAUACUGUUUUUAACCUUAAUUCAACAUCGUGAAGCAACAUUGAGCAUGGUAAUUUUGUUACAUAGAACUGAAAAAAUUUUUUAGUCACGGAGAGCACUGAAUGUUUAGCCUUUGAUUCAAUCUAGGCCAAGGGUAAAAUGUUGUUAUCUCUCCCAUUCUUGUAUUCAAAGCAGUAAAGGAAAUUCCUUUUGUCCA